AUUGAACGCUGGCGGCAGGCCUAACACAUGCAAGUCGAACGAGUGGCGGACGGGUGAGUAAUGUCUGGGAAACUGCCUGAUGGAGGGGGAUAACUACUGGAAACGGUAGCUAAUACCGCAUACCAUCGGAUGUUCCCAUAUGGGCUUAGCUAGUAGGUGGGGUAAAGGCUCACCUAGGCGACGAUCCCUAGCUGGUCUGAGAGGAUGACCAGCCACACUGGAACUGAGACACGGUCCAGACUCCGACGGGAGGCAGCAGUGGGGAAUAGUGCACAAUGGGAGAAAGCCUGAUGCAGCCAUGCCGCGUGUAUGAAGAAGGCCUUAGGGUUGUAAAGUACUUUCAGCGGGGAGGCGUUACCCGCAGAAGAAGCACCGGCUAACUACGUGCCAGCAGCCGCGGUAAUAC
rnacentral:rRNA from 1 species